UAUACAGGUAAUACUACAAAAAAUGUUUGGUUAUUUAAUUAAUGAGAAUAAUAAGAAUUUAAAUUUUAUUUUAUUAGGUGAAAUUUUAAUAUAAAGUUAAAUUUUUUUUUUGAUUAUGAGGUUAAUAAAUUUAAAUUUGAAACUAGGAUUAGAUACCCUAUUAUUUUAAAUGAGUAAUUUUUAUCAGGUUAGUAUUAGUUAUGUUCUUGAAAAUUAAAGAAGAUGGCGGUAUUUUAGUCUAUUCAGAGGAACCUGUCCUAUAAUUGAUGAUCCACGAUUUAUUAUACUUAUUUUUUAAGUUUGCAUAUCGCCGUAGAUUGAAUAUUCUUUAAGGAUUGAAACGUUCAAGAGGUUUUUAAUGUAAAAAUAAAUCAGGUCAAGAUGUAGCUGAUAGAUAAGAAGAGAUGGGUUACAAUAAAUAAAUUUAUUAUGAAUUAAUAAAUGAAAUUUUAUUAUGAAGGUGGAUUUGAAGGUAAUUUUAUAAAAAUUUAUARAAUGAUUUUAGCUCUAAAGUAUGUACAU
rnacentral:rRNA from 1 species